rnacentral:rRNA from 1 species
GACGAACGCUGGCGGCGUGCUUAACACAUGCAAGUCGAACGGAAAGGCCCUGCUUUUGUGGGGUGCUCGAGUGGCGAAAGGGUGAGUAACACGUGAGUAACCUGCCCUUGACUUUGGGAUAACUUCAGGAAACUGGGGCUAAUAUCGGAUAGGCGCUCCUGCUGCAUGGUGUGGGUUGGAAAGUUUCGGCGGUUGGGGAUGGACUCGCGGCUUAUCAGCUUGUUGGUGGGGUAGUGGCUUACCAAGGCGUUGACGGGUAGCCGGCCUGAGAGGGUGACCGGCCACAUUGGGACUGAGAUACGGCCCAGACUCCUACGGGAGGCAGCAGUGGGGAAUAUUGCACAAUGGGCGGAAGCCUGAUGCAGCAACGCCGCGUGCGGGAUGACGGCCUUCGGGUUGUAAACCGCUUUCGCCUGUGACGAAGCGUGAGUGACGGUAAUUGGUAAAGAAGCACCGGCUAACUACGUG